UACAGAGGGGGCAAGCGUUGUUCGGAAUUACUGGGCGUAAAGGGCGCGUAGGCGGCCUUCUAAGUCGAACGUGAAAUCCCCGGGCUCAACCCGGGAACUGCGUCCGAUACUGGAAGGCUUGAAUCCGGGAGAGGGAUGCGGAAUUCCAGGUGUAGCGGUGAAAUGCGCAGAUAUCAGGAGGAACACCGGUGGCGAAGGCGGAUCUCUGGGCCUUACCUGACGCUGAGGCGCGAAAGCUAGGGGAGCAAACAGG
rnacentral:rRNA from 1 species